AAGACUAUUCAUAACAUUCUAGUUACACUCUAUAUACACAACACAAGGUUCACAAAAGAGGAUGGGAUCUCAAUCCUCAUUCGGGUCGUACUCAGGAUCAUCCUGAUUCUCUUCUGACUCUUCUUCACUAAGCUCACAUCCUUCAAGCUUUUCAUCUUUUACCGGCUCAUCGUCCUUUUCUGGUUCCUUCUUCACAGGCUCAUCUACAGGCCUGAAAUGUUGUCCCACAACCGGGAUGAGACUACGUCUCAGCAAGUUCUACCCCACUAAGACUCGAUUAGGAAACCAAUACGCUAUCCGGGCUGCCUAUACAUGCACGGAUCAGAGGACUUACCUUGGCCUCAGAUUCCACCUGCAUAUUAGCACAGUUCAAUAGGCACUCAAAUAGUCACAUCACAGAUUGAAGCGUCAAUCAAAUCGAC
rnacentral:lncRNA from 1 species